rnacentral:rRNA from 1 species
UACGGGGGGAGCUAGCGUUUUUCGGCAUUAUUGGGCGUAAAGGGCGUGUAGGCGGUUAAUAAAGUUGAGAGUGAAAUCCCCGGGCUUAACCUGGGAACUGCUUUCAAAACUCAUUAACUAGAGAACGAUAGAGGAUAGUAGAAUUCCUAGUGUAGAGGUGAAAUUCUUAGAUAUUAGGAGGAAUACCGGUGGCGAAGGCGGCUAUCUGGAUCGUUUCUGACGCUGAGACGCGAAAGCGUGGGGAGCAAACAGG